UGCAGCCCCGUCAAAUUCAGUCCUUGCCUCCUCCGUGUCCGCCUGCCACAGCAACUUCUGUGGUCCGUGAGCCCCGCGUCCCCUUCCCGUGGGACCCCGGGGAUAAAAUCACGCCACGGACAUUG
rnacentral:snoRNA from 1 species